rnacentral:rRNA from 12 species
CACAGCCAUGCCGUCCUACAAGAGCCUUGUCCUGUCUGAGUUUAGUAGCUAAACAGGGCCCGACUUGGUCAGUAUUUUGAAGGGAGACUGCCCAGCAGUACCAGUUUCUCUAUUGU